UACGGAGGAUGCGAGCGUUAUCCGGAUUUAUUGGGUUUAAAGGGUGCGUAGGCGGAAUGAUAAGUCAGAGGUGAAAUCUCCCGGCUCAACCGGGAAGCUGCCUUUGAUACUGCCAUUCUUGAGUACAGUUGAAGUGGGCGGAAUACGUCAUGUAGCGGUGAAAUGCAUAGAUAUGACGUAGAACACCGAUAGCGAAGGCAGCUCACUAAGCUGUAACUGACGCUCAGGCACGAAAGCGUGGGGAGCAAACAGG
rnacentral:rRNA from 1 species